UAACGGCGAGUGAAGCGGCACAGCUCAAAUUUGAAAUCUGGCUUCCUUUAGGAGUCCGAGUUGUAAUUUGUAGAGGGGGUUUCGGCGUCGACCCUUGUCUAAGUUCCUUGGAACAGGACGUCAUAGAGGGUGAGAAUCCCGUACGUGACGAGUCGUCUUCGCCAUGUGAAACCCCUUCGACGAGUCGAGUUGUUUGGGAAUGCAGCUCUAAAUGGGAGGUAUAUUUCUUCUAAAGCUAAAUAUUGGCCAGAGACCGAUAGCGCACAAGUAGAGUGAUCGAAAGAUGAAAAGCACUUUGGAAAGAGAGUCAAAAAGCACGUGAAAUUGUUGAAAGGGAAGCGCUUGCAACCAGACUUGUCUGCCGUCGUUCAUCCGGGCUUCUGCCCGGUGCACUCGUCGGCAAACAGGCCAGCAUCAGUUUGGGCGGUCGGACAAAGGCCCUGGGAAUGUAGCUCUCUUCGGGGAGUGUUAUAGCCCAGGGCGUCAUGCGGCCAGCCUGGACUGAGGUCCGCGCUUCGGCUAGGAUGCUGGCGUAAUGGUCGCAAGCGGCCCGUCUUGAAACACGGACCAAGGAGUCUAACAUCUAUGCGAGUGUUUGGGUGUCAAGCCCGGACGCGUAAUGAAAGUGAACGGAGGUGGGAACCCUUUGGGUGCACCAUCGACCGAUCCUGAUGUCUUCGGAUGGAUUUGAGUAAGAGCAUAGCUGUUGGGACCCGAAAGAUGGUGAACUAUGCCUGAAUAGGGUGAAGCCAGAGGAAACUCUGGUGGAGGCUCGCAGCGGUUCUGACGUGCAAAUCGAUCGUCAAAUUUGGGCAUAGGGGCGAAAGACUAAUCGAACUAUCUAGUAGCUGGUUCCUGCCGAAGUUCCCCUCAGGAUA
rnacentral:rRNA from 1 species